rnacentral:misc_RNA from 1 species
GUGAAUCAUCGAAUCUUUGAACGCACAUUGCGCUUCCUGGUAUUCCGGGGAGCAUGCUCGUUUCAGAAUCAUUUAAAACUCACAAGCCUGUGCGGCGUUUGUCGUAUUUGGUGCGUGGAUAUGAGUGCAUUGGCUUGGAUUUACUUCCACAAACCCAAUCGCUUUAAAAUGAUUUUGUACGCAACCCUCGCCUUCUUUUGUGGGCUGCCAACAGUGCGACAGUUUUUAAACAGUUCAUUUUUGGUUGCCACCACGAGACGACGGGGCGUGUAUUUCUUACCUCCAAACACAUGGCACUGU